GGGGAGAGCUCGUUGUGCUCUGCACUCUCUGAAAGGAGGCUGUGGCGAAGUGGGGGUUGGGCUUUUUUUCUCAGGUAACAGCGAUAGGAUGAGAGGGAACGGCCUCAAGUUGUGCCAGGGGAGGUUCAGGUUGGACAUUGGGAAAAAUUCUUCUCCCAAAGUGGUGAUGCAUUGGCAUCAGCAAGGAUGCCCAGUGAGGUGAUGGAGUGACUGGCCCUGGAUGUGUUCAAGAACUGUGUAGAUGUGUCACUGAGGGAUGUGGUCAGUGGGCGCUAUUGGUGGCAGGUGGAUGGUUGAACUAGAUGAUCUUCGUGGUCUUUUCCAACCUUACUGAUUCAAUGACUCACAUCGGCCUUUCUCUCUUACCAGUGGGAAGUAAGGAGGAAGAAUGCUUAGAAGAAAGGCUGAUGGCCUGUUUCCACCAGCAGUGGAGGAAAGAGUGAGGCAGGACUGGGAAGGAUAAAGCUAUUGCUGCCAGCUGGGAGCCAACAGACAGGCUGAGUUUCACGAGCAGCACUGCACCAACUGACAGAUGUCAUGCCCAGGCUGGCCUGCUUUAUGUAAGUCAACCAUUCCUGUGUUUAAAGGGUGCCAGAGGCACUUGCCAGCUGGUGAGGAUCUAUGCAGUUAAAGGGUGUGUUAAUCCAUAGUGACUGCUCUAUAAAUACAGACUUGGAUCUUAUUACUUGUCUGGUGAGCUCACGGUGCUCGUGUUUCCUUAGCAAUUGCUGCUGUUGUUGGCUUAAGCAAACAGAUAUGGUAUUAAAUGUUCACCACCCCUUGGUGCCCACUGCAGUGUUUCAAGAGUCCGUGCUUGGCUUCUCCCUGAGACUCAAACCUGUGAUGAUGGCUCUGCACAAUCCCCUUUCUGCAUGAGACUGCUUGUAUAGGAAGGCUGUAAUUUCUGCUCAGCAAUGUCUAGACAUACGUGGGGAUAGAGGCGUGACUGUGUUUAGAAAUGGGACCUGCUGAGUGGGAGUCCCAUGUUCAAACACCUGAGAAGGGACACAGUGUUUAUGAAGUAGAAAUCUGAGCACUGUUUGGAGC
ensembl:lncRNA